AUUGAACGCUGGCGGUAGGCCUAACACAUGCAAGUCGAACGGCAGCACAGAGGAGCUUGCUCCUUGGGUGGCGAGUGGCGGACGGGUGAGGAAUACAUCGGAAUCUACUCUGUCGUGGGGGAUAACGUAGGGAAACUUACGCUAAUACCGCAUACGACCUACGGGUGAAAGCAGGGGAUCUUCGGACCUUGCGCGAUUGAAUGAGCCGAUGUCGGAUUAGCUAGUUGGCGGGGUAAAGGCCCACCAAGACGACGAUCCGUAGCUGGUCUGAGAGGAUGAUCAGCCACACUGGAACUGAGACACGGUCCAGACUCCUACGGGAGGCAGCAGUGGGGAAUAUUGGACAAUGGGCGCAAGCCUGAUCCAGCCAUACCGCGUGGGUGAAGAAGGCCUUCGGGUUGUAAAGCCCUUUUGUUGGGAAAGAAAUCCAUCUGGUUAAUACCCGGGUGGGAUGACGGUACCCAAAGAAUAAGCACCGGCUAACUUCGUGCCAGCCGCCGCGGUAAGAC
rnacentral:rRNA from 1 species